UAUAUAUUGUGGUACAUGACGUCCCUACAUUGCUAUUACAUCGCGGGCUCCUGUUUGAAUUUGAGUCUGAUAUUUGUUGAUGCAAUGAAUUGUGUACGUCGAUGCAUGUUGAAGCAAAAAACAAUGCGAAUUGAAGGCCAAGAAAUGUGUCUCUUUUCUUCAAAUUAUAACAAUGACCGGUACGAAGAGUAGAUCUUCUUAAUACAAGCGAAAAAGGAAGGGAAAGAGGUUUUCUGGUAAGCAAAGACACCAAGAUCGUGACUCAACACGAGAUCAAAAUAUGAGUAAUGAUGAUCCCACGUGUGAAUCGCCAAACAGACAAUGUUGAUGGCUCAAACCAAAGUAAUGUUAUUGGAACUUCAAGAAAAUUACGAUGUGAAAUCAGAAAUGACAAUAGUGAUAAUUACACCGAAGAAAAUAUCCACGAAUACAGGCUGAGCAGUUUGGCUGCCAAUCCAAUUAUGCUGUCUCAAAUAUUCAACACAUGUGUGAGGAAGGUAAGAAUUUGCCCUUUGUGUUUUAUAUCUUAUCCUUCAAAACUGGUUUAAUAUAACAUAUGGUUUAAAUUGUACUCCUGCAAACUCCUUUUAUAUCUAUUCUGCAACAAAAGUUGUAUAUAUUUGUUGUGUAACAUGUAAACAGUUGCAAUAUACAGUACAUAUAUGUGUCAAUUGUUUUAAAAAUGUUAAUGGUCAUUUCUUUAGGAAAUUUAACUUUGGAAGAAGAUGAAAGUGGACGUGUUGGUCAUUUCUCUUAGUCAAACACAGUUGCUUCAAAGGUGUGUUCUUGGCACAACUGAAAAACAAAAUGGCAGUUUGAAUGCUCUAGCUUGGGCUAAGUAUCCAAAGCAUAAACAACAUGGCCGCAAAGCAGUGCGAUGUCCUGUAGCUGCCGCUAUUCCCCCACUUCCAUAUUGGAGCAAAGAGUCGACUUGGUGUUAUGAAACAGCUGUCCAUUUACUCUGGGGGUAAAACAAAACAAGCUUGUGAUGCAAGAUCGAUGUGCAGCGAAUGAAGAAAUCUGAUUUUACAGGCAACUGAAAAAGAGAAGAAACGACGCCAAGGAGAGAAACUGAUUUGAACGCAACGGGAAGAAGCUAUUUGGGAAGCUGAAGGAGUGACAUAAAGAGGCUAGAGGAUUUUAAACUGUAACAAAACUUUUUAAAACACCAAGUAAAUGGUAGGAUUUAAAUUAUCCAGGCUUAAGAUUUUCAAAAUGUAUGAAAAAUCAAGUGUUUUCGAUACAAGAGACUUUAAACUCAUUUUUCUCAUUUUCGGAUAUUUUAGACUUUGAGAAAAGAUAUCUCGAUAACAAUUUAUUGGAUUGCACUGAAAUUUUCAGAGAAUGCUCCUCUCACUUAGCUUUGUGUUUUAAGCAUAGAGAUUUUUGAUUGAGUAAAAAUAUCAAAAGUUACUACAAUUUUUACCUUUUAAAAAUUUGACGCCUAACUUCCCAAACCCAUAACUUUUUUUCUUUUUUGUCAAUCAAAAUUCUCUAUGCUUAAAACAAUAAUCCCUAUGUAAGUAUUUAAAAAAAUGUAUAAAUAAUCAAAUUUCAUAAUACACAGCUAGUGCAAUCUUUUCUUGAAUAAAGCUAAACCGAAAAUUUGAUGAACGGUGCAGAGCCACCUUAAUACAGCUUUUCACUGUUUGAAAUAUUUUUUUUCUGAAUCUCCAGGUUCUAAGCUUUCUACUAAUAUAUAGUUUGUGGGGGUUUGGAUGUAACCUUGUGCAAAUAUAAAACAUUUUAGAUCGCCCUAUUUUUCAGGUGUACUCCCCCCUUAAUCGACUUAAUCACCUAGUAAAAAUUCCUUGCACGUGCUCGAAAUGUAUUCAUUUUUGCAGGAAAAUUAAUUUAUCUUGUACUCUCACCGUUGCUAGGCUUUAUCUCUAGUUUUAUAGGCCAAACAAGGACAACAAUACCAUUGUUCGAAUCAGCGUGAAAAGUUAUGGAUGGAAAAUUGAUUUCAAAAUUGAUUUCUAUUCUAGCGAUUUAUGGCCUUUUAAAGACAAGCCGCUCAAAAUAAUCCUUCACGUUUUCCGAAUUCCUUUUUUCGAGGAAAGAUUUCUUUUCUAUUUCAAUCUCGGACUCUCACGAUUGACUUUUUGCCGCGCCUUAUCUCUGGUUUUAUGCGCCCAAUAAGGACAAAAAUACCACCGUUCGAUUCAGCG